rnacentral:rRNA from 1 species
GAUGAACGCUGGCGGCGUGCUUAACACAUGCAAGUCGAACGGAAAGGCUCCUGCUUGCAGGGGUACUCGAGUGGCGAACGGGUGAGUAACACGUGGGUGAUCUGCCCUGCACUUCGGGAUAAGCCUGGGAAACUGGGUCUAAUACCGGAUAGGACCACAUUUUGGAUGGUGUGGUGGAAAGUUUUUCGGUGUGGGAUGAGCUCGCGGCCUAUCAGCUUGUUGGUGGGGUAAUGGCCUACCAAGGCGUCGACGGGUAGCCGGCCUGAGAGGGUGUGCGGCCACAUUGGGACUGAGAUACGGCCCAGACUCCUACGGGAGGCAGCAGUGGGGAAUAUUGCACAAUGGGCGCAAGCCUGAUGCAGCGACGCCGCGUGGGGGAUGACGGCCUUCGGGUUGUAAACUCCUUUCGCUAGGGACGAAGCGCAAGUGACGGUACCUGGAGAAGAAGCACCGGCUAACUACGU